rnacentral:rRNA from 1 species
UACGGGGGGAGCAAGCGUUGUUCGGAUUUACUGGGCGUAAAGGGCGCGUAGGCGGCCACCGCAAGUCAAUUGUGAAAUCUCCGGGCUUAACUCGGAAAGGUCAACUGAUACUGCGGGGCUAGAGUGCGGAAGGGGCAACUGGAAUUCUCGGUGUAGCGGUGAAAUGCGCAGAUAUCAGGAAGAACACCUAUGGCGAAGGCAGCUCGCUGGGACGUUACUGACGCUGAGGUGCGAAAGCGUGGGGAGCGAACAGG